UACGUAGGGUGCGAGCGUUGUCCGGAAUUAUUGGGCGUAAAGAGCGUGUAGGCGGUCCGGUAAGUCAGCUGUGAAAGUCAAGGGCUCAACCCUUGAAUGCCGGUUGAUACUGUCGGGCUAGAGUCCGGAAGAGGCGAGUGGAAUUCCCGGUGUAGCGGUGAAAUGCGCAGAUAUCGGGAGGAACACCAAUGGCGGAGGCAGCUCGCUGGGACGGUACUGACGCUGAGACGCGAAAGCGUGGGGAGCAAACAGGG
rnacentral:rRNA from 1 species